AACGAACGCUGGCGGCAUGCCUAACACAUGCAAGUCGAACGAGACCUUCGGGUCUAUUGGCGCACGGGUGCGUAACGCGUUGGAACCUGCCCUUAUGUUCGGAAUAACUCCCCGAAUGGUGUGCUAAUACCGGAUAAUUUCUUCGGACCAAAGAUUUAUCGCCUUUGGUUGGUCCCGCGUUGGAUUAGCUUGUUGGUAGGGUAAAAGCCUACCAAGGCGACAGUCCAUAGCUGGUCUGAGAGGAUGAUAAGCCACACUGGGACUGAGACACGGACGAGAAUACGACGGGAGGCAGCAGUGGGGAAUAUAGGAAAAUGGGGGAAAGGAAGAAAAAGCAAGGAGGGGUGAGUGAUGAAGGCAUUAGGGAAGUAAAGCGAGAUUAAACGGGAAGAUAAUGACAGUACCGGGAGAAUAAGCACCGGCUAACUACGUG
rnacentral:rRNA from 1 species